AGCAGAAGCAAUCCUCAAAUUGAUUCUUGCAGACGCAAAAGGACACUCUGUCUCUCUUCUUACACCGAUUCUGUUCCUCUGUGUUUCAUUCCUAUUUGACAGACGCUCAGAGACGAAGAGUUCUCCUCUCCUCUCUUGAACGAGCGAAAAGUGAGAGGAGAAUGGGAGAAAUUCGAAUCAUAGGAGGCGAAUUAGGUGGUAUUUUACGUUUCAGUUUUCGUUCUAUCGAAAUCAAAGCUCGGAUGUUUGUGGAUUUAUAGAGCGUUGAUGCCGUCGUUAGUACUCUCUUCAUGUUUCUUUUACGAUAUCUGGAUUGGCAUAAAGGGAAGUGAUUACUUAUGCUCUUAAUUCUGGUAGAGUCUUUUCUUUCACGUUUUGGUGCGUUUUUGGUGCUAAUUGACUGUUGAACUCUUUCCUUACGGAAAAAAGACUCUUCUCUAUGGAUGGGAAUUAGCAUAUUCCAGUUUGCUUAAACUGAGGGACUGCAUUUGAUUUAAAUUUCAAUUCUAUUAUCAGAUAGUAAUAGGAAUAACAUACAAAUAGAUAAUGAUGUGAACGAAAAAGUUCAUACACCUUUCAAAUUUAUUUUCCUUUUUGACAAUUAGGAAUACAAAUUUAUAAAUAUAGAAUUAAAGCUACGAGCAGAGUUAUUCAAUUAUCCAUAUGUAAGUUACAAUCAAAUUUCAAUACAACAAGUUUGAACCAAA